rnacentral:rRNA from 1 species
AAGCGGAGGAAAAGAAACUAACAAGGAUUCCCCUAGUAACGGCGAGUGAACCGGGAAGAGCUCAAAUUUGUAAUCUGGCCCUUGGGUCCGAGUUGUAAUCUAUAGAGGCGUUUUCCGCGCCGGACCGUGUCCAAGUCCCUUGGAAUAGGGUAUCAAAGAGGGUGACAAUCCCGUACUUGACACGACGACCGGUGCUAUGUGAUACUCUCUUCGACGAGUCGAGUUGUUUGGGAAUGCAGCUCACAAUGGGUGGUAAAUUCCAUCUAAAGCUAAAUAUUGGCGAGAGACCGAUAGCGAACAAGUACCGUGAGGGAAAGAUGAAAAGCACUUUGGAAAGAGAGUUAAACAGUACGUGAAAUUGUUAAAAGGGAAACGAUUGAAGUCAGUCGUGUCGGUCGGAUUCAGCCUGGUCUCCAGGUGUAUUUCCUUCCGACGGGUCGGCAUCAGUUUGGAUCGGCGGAUAAAGAUGGAGGGAAGGUGGCGCCUUCGGGUGUGUUAUAGCCCUCUGUUGCAUACGCUGGUCUGGACUGAGGCAUGCAGCUCGCCUUUAUGGCCGGGGUUCGCCCGCGUUCGAGCUUAGGAUGUUGAGGUAAUGGCUUUAAAC